rnacentral:lncRNA from 1 species
UUUUUUUAUUAUUAUUAUUUUGUUCCCCAGGUCAACCGGGGUGCCUUUUGCAGCUGCCGGGACCGCUGGAGCGUCCUGCGGCGCUGUUUCACGCUCGCUGGGAACCAGAAGGUGUUUCGAAAAGGCAAAAGAGCCUCCUCAUCCCUGGGCUGCUGUUUUGGUGCCUCUUCAAACCCAGGAUGAGCAACCGCAUUGCAACCGCUUUAAAUCUGGACGGCGGCGUCAACACCCCCCUCACCCAGUGCCUGCCGGUACGUACUGCCCCUCAGGGUUGCAAAAUACUUCCACUGAAAACCACGCAGGAGAACCCAACCUCAACAAAGCCAUUAAAAUGCGGCCGCCUAGGUCCCCCGGCAGCGCCAGCGGCGGGAUUUCCCGCGGGACGGGCGCCUCGUGCCGUGAUUUAGGGCUCGGGCAGCUCUCGCUGAGCCGAGCAGGGCACGGAUCCCGCGCGUGUGCUGCACUUCUGCGAAACAGCUGCUGGCUUCCCCUUUAUCUCUCUCCAAACAGAUUAGCUUAAA